AAUGAAGGAAGAAAGGUGGAUUGAAGCCCUUCAACACAACUGAAAGGAUCCCUAUGGGAUCAAGGCAGCAACAGUUUUUGAAAUCUCAACAUUUUUGGCAGGACAGGAAAACCACUUCCCAAUGUGUCAGCCAGCAACUGCCCCAGCUCCUGGAGUCGAGUGAUAUGUAAUGAUUUCAGCUUUCAUUCUUAGAGAAAAACUACUUCCUGGUUCAGGACCUUUCCCUGGCCAGGGAAAAAGGGAAAUGCAGUGCGGAGGAGACAGAUGGGAGUGGUAGUGUCCUGCUUUGCAGAUCCACCAUGGAGCUAACGAGAAAGGCUCAAAAGCCAGGAAAUUCCAAAACGAAGGAAAGACAUGAAAAAGGAUCACUUUACUCACCAACUAAACGCAGCUUCCUCUGGAGUGGAAUACAACCAACAUCUCCCUAAUGGUGUACGAUACAGCAACUCUACACAACAGUUUAAGAUGAAUAUAGUAUCCAGCUGAAACAGUCGUGAGGGAGAGGAAUUCAGAUAGGUGGAAUAGGUCUGAUACUAUAGCCACUCCAUGUGUAGAACUCCCAAUGCAACAACUGCAGGAUCAGACCUAUUCAUCAGAAUUUGCCCAUGACACUGGGGUCAACAUCUCUAUUUUUACAGAAGUUUGAUAUGAUCUUGAAUGUCCACAUGGAGUCAAGGCUAUGGUUCUACAUCUCACCCAAAAGGACAGCAUUCCCUUUUGGUGGAGUUUGCUUCUUGAUAGAUUCAAGAUGGAAAUGUGCCACCUACUGAAUUAUCAACAUCACUUCCUGUAGCACUAAAGAUUUUCUUAAUCUUGCAUCCUAUCUGACCUGGCCCAGUCCUGCUUAAUGUGGGAAAGCUGACAGUACAGAGCCUGCAGAUUCAGACCAAAAAGUCCAGUGACCAACUCUGUGAUCAGGAAUACAGCCAUCAACCUGUCCCUGCACCAGAAUGGAAACAAGCAGAAUGUAGCAUUUUGUUUGGCCUUUUUAACUGCAGGGGACUCCAAAACAAUGAUCAUCUCUUUCUUUUAUUAUUUAAAGCUAUAGCAAAUUGUGAUGAAAAGGUACUGUCCCAGGCACAAAAUCUGUUUGCCCCUCCUUGCCGUGAUGGUUGGUAAUCAGGGCCGGCUCCAGGGUUUUUGCUGCCCCAAGCGGCAAAAAAAAAAAAAAAAAGAAGUCGCGAUCGGCGGCUGCUCCACUGUGCCGCUUUCUUCUUCAAUGGCAAUUCGGCAGCAGGUCCUUCCCUCCGAGAGGGACCGAGGGACCUGCCGCCAAAUUGCUGCCAAACAGCCUGACGUGCCACCCCUUC